UUCUCACUUCAAGCAUUGCGGUGGUUUACGAGAACUGAACGGACUAAAUAAGCUGAGAGGAAGUUUGGAGAUUGAAAAUCUGGGACAUGGGAAAGAUGAGGCUAUAAAUCUAAAGGAGAAUCAACAUCUUCAUUAUUUGAGUUUAUAUUGGAGUACUGAAGGAGAUGUCAAUGAUUUGGAAGGCUUCCAACUGCCCCCAAAUUUGAAAUAUCUAUUCUUAUGUUGCUAUCCGGGUUCAAGGCUUCCAAGUUGGGUUCAACAUUCUACCACUCUACAAGAGCUAGGACUUAUGCAUUGUGAAAGCUUAGUGGCUAUACCAGAGUGGAUCCACAACUUCAAAUCACUUCAAGAAUUUGAAAUUGUUGAAUGCACCAGUUUGACAUCGCUGCCCAAAGGAAUGGGUAAGCUAACAUCUUUGCAGAGGCUAAAAAUUGAGGACUGUCCCAUCUUAUUGCGAAGAUGCGAGAGAGACACAGGUGAGGAUUGGACAAAGAUUGCUCACAUCCCAACAUUAGAAAUAUGGUAGCAAGAAGAAAAUUCAAGCACCCCUGCAUCCUCGACUUAAUUAGAAAAGAUGGGAGGGUUCUUGUUGAUAAUGUUGUAUAUGCCAAAUGAAAGAGGUGUAGGAGAGCGUGCAAUUGGCUUACACUGCUAGUUAUGAUUCAGAAUUGAGGAGAUAGCGAGAAAACCUUCUACAAAAUGUGUCAUCUUUGCUGAAAUUGUGAAGAGCCGUAGAUAGUACUUAUAAGCUUCUUGGAUGUGGCACAACUAUAAUUUUCCACACUGUUAAGUUGAAAAAGCCACUUGAAAUAUGGGAAACGAUUCGGAUGAUUGCCACGACAAGUAUACUGAUGCUGAAAGCAUUGGUGUUAAAGUCAUAUGAAUCCUGCUAAUUGUAUUUAAAAUAUUUUGUUAAUUUUGUGUCUGUUUUGUAAUUAGUUUUGUGACUGUUUUGAAAACAAAAGAUUGUGAUCAAUAUUAAA